CGGCGCCCGUGUGACCACCGAAUUCCUCUCAUCCCAGGUGCGCAACCAGUGAACAUAUGGCCGUACCGUCACAAACCAGAACUGAAAUCUGAAAUUGAAGCCCAAGUGGAAGAACUGCUGCGUUCAGGGAUCAUUCAGAGAAGUACCAGCCCAUUCUCAUCCCCAGUCAUACUGGUCAAGAAGAAGGACGGGACAUGGCGCUUGUGCAUCGACUACAGGCACCUCAAUGCGCUAACUGUGAUCGCCAAGUACCCUGUCCCGAUCAUCAAAGAACUCCUCGACGAGCUCCACGGUGUAGCAUGGUUCUCUAAGCUUGAUCUCCGUGCCGAAUAUCAUCAAAUCCGGUUGGCUCCCGGAGAGGAGUACAAGACAACAUUCCAAACCCACCAGGGGCACUUCGAGUUCAAAGUGGUUUCCUUUGGACUCGCGGGUGGCCCGGCAAAAUUCAUU
rnacentral:rRNA from 1 species